rnacentral:rRNA from 1 species
GCAAGUCGAACGGGAUCCAUCAAGCUUGCUUGGUGGUGAGAGUGGCGAACGGGUGAGUAAUGCGUGACCAACCUGCCCCAUACACCGGAAUAGCUCCUGGAAACGGGUGGUAAUGCCGGAUGUUCCGCACCGUCGCAUGGUGGUGUGGGAAAGGGUUUACCGGUAUGGGAUGGGGUCGCGUCCUAUCAGCUUGUUGGUGGGGUGAUGGCCUACCAAGGCGUCGACGGGUAGCCGGCCUGAGAGGGCGACCGGCCACAUUGGGACUGAGAUACGGCCCAGACUCCUACGGGAGGCAGCAGUGGGGAAUAUUGCACAAUGGGCGAAAGCCUGAUGCAGCGACGCCGCGUGCGGGAUGACGGCCUUCGGGUUGUAAACCGCUUUUGAUUGGGAGCAAGCGAGAGUGAGUGUACCUUUCGAAUAAGCACCGGCUAACUACGUGCCAGCAGCCGCGGUAAUACGUAGGGUGCAAGCGUUAUCCGGAAUUAUUGGGCGUAAAGAGCUCGUAGGCGGUUCGUCGCGUCUGGUGUGAAAGUCCAUCGCUUAACGGUGGAUCUGCGCCGGGUACGGGCGGACUGGAGUGCGGUAGGGGAGACUGGAAUUCCCGGUGUAACGGUGGAAUGUGUAGAUAUCGGGAAGAACACCAAUGGCGAAGGCAGGUCUCUG